AAAACUUUCAACAACGGAUCUCUUGGUUCUGGCAUCGAUGAAGAACGCAGCGAAAUGCGAUAAGUAAUGUGAAUUGCAGAAUUCAGUGAAUCAUCGAAUCUUUGAACGCACAUUGCGCCCGCCAGAAUUCUGGCGGGCAUGCCUGUUCGAGCGUCAUUU
rnacentral:rRNA from 1 species